CUGAUCAGUGGCGACGGGUGAGUAACGCGUGAGCAACCUGCCCUAUAUUGCGGGAUAACAACGGAAACAGUUGCUAAUACCGCAUGACGUAUUCGGAUCGCAUGUUCUGAAUACCAAAGAAUUUUGAUAUAGGAUGGGCUCGCGUCCGAUUAGGCAGUUGUGGGGUAACGGCCCACCAACCCGACGAUCGGUAGCCGAACUGAGAGGUUGAACGGCCACAUUGGAACUGAGAUACGGUCCAGACUCCUACGGGAGGCAGCAGUGGGGAAUAUUGGGCAAUGGGCGAAAGCCUGACCCAGCGACGCCGCGUGAGGGAAGAAGGUCUUCGGAUUGUAAACCUCUUUCAGCAGGGAAGAAGCAAGUGACGGUACCUGCAGAAGAAGUCACGGCUAACUACGUG
rnacentral:rRNA from 1 species